rnacentral:lncRNA from 1 species
AUGAAGUUUUCAUUUGAUUGUUACUUAAUGGUAACAAGAAGUUUCUGGUCAGCAACGGGGUGGUUCGUAACUACAGGUUGUAUGUAAAUCGGACGUUCGUAACCUAGGGACUGCCUGUAUUGGCUUUCUGACUAUGUAUAUCAUGCAGGGUCUCAUAAUUAAUGCAUUGUACAUAUCGCUAAUUAUAACUUUUAUUAUGUCCAAUAGUUUUCAAAAAUACCUGUAUUCAUGGGGGACAGCAACUGUCACGAAGAGCUGAAAAGAGUACCAUAUGUACGAAAAUGUGACCUUCACAGCAGGCUGCGGUGUUCCCUCCGCUGGAGUCUGCAUCGGUGACAGUUCUCCUCCUUCCAUUGCAGCCAUUGCUGAUUGUUCUGCUGAUGCUUCAAGCUCCCCCUCCGUGGUUCCUCCUGCCAGCAUUAUUGCUUUGAUC